rfam:Picea glauca, whole genome shotgun sequence.
UCAUAUGUACAUGCUUACAAUGUUAAUGCAUUGAAUCCCAUUGGAACUUCGUAGUUAAGUGUGUUUGGAAUAGAGUAGUACUACGAUGGGUGACCCCCCUCCGAAUGUCCUAGUGUUUUACAUGCC